UUCUCCAGGGGUACUUCAAAAUACAGGGGUGUUACACUACACAAAUGCGGACGAUGGGAAGCUCGAAUGGGGCAGUUCCUUGGCAAGAAGUAUAUCUAUCUUGGGUUGUUCGACAGUGAGGUGGAAGCUGCAAGGGCUUAUGACAAGGCUGCAAUAAAAUGCAAUGGAAGGGAAGUGGUGACCAACUUUGAGGCAAGCACAUAUGAAGAGGAGUUAAGCUCUGAGAUUGAGAAUGGAGG